CGGUUUUUUAGCAAAGGAGGAAUGCCGCCAGAGAGCUCAGAUUGCAUGCAUUGGAGUUGGAAGAAUUGUCCAAAGGCAUGGCAUGGGCAAUUCCACGGCCAAAAAAAGGGUUCCACUAUAAUCCUUAAAGCGGUGGCCGAUCAAGAGACUUGGAUUUGGCAUGCUUUCUUUAGAAUGCGUGGAUCUUUGAAUGACAUCAAUGUUGUCAACCGGUCACCACUGAUGAAUAAGAUUGCAAAUGGUGAUUUGCCACCGGUGCAGUUUGUAGCAAAUGGUCGUACAUACAACUAUGGCUAUUAUCUUGCGGAUGGCAUCUAUCCAAAGUGGCAAAUAUUUGUG
rnacentral:rRNA from 1 species